rnacentral:rRNA from 1 species
GUGUCAGCAGCCGCGGUAAUACAGAGGUCUCAAGCGUUGUUCGGAUUCAUUGGGCGUAAAGGGUGCGUAGGUGGCGCCGUAAGUCGGGUGUGAAAUUUCGGAGCUUAACUCCGAAACUGCAUUCGAUACUGCGGUGCUUGAGGACUGGAGAGGAGACUGGAAUUCAUGGUGUAGCAGUGAAAUGCGUAGAGAUCAUGAGGAAGACCAGUGGCGAAGGCGGGUCUCUGGACAGUUCCUGACACUGAGGCACGAAGGCCAGGGGAGCAAACGGGAUUAGAAACCCGCGUAGUCC